GACGAACGCUGGCGGCGUGCCUAAUACAUGCAAGUUGAGCGAUGAAGACUGGUGCUUGCACCAAUUUGAAGAGCAGCGAACGGGUGAGUAACGCGUGGGGAAUCUGCCUUUGAGCGGGGGACAACAUUUGGAAACGAAUGCUAAUACCGCAUAACAACUUUAAACAUAAGUUUUAAGUUUGAAAGAUGCAAUUGCAUCACUCAAAGAUGAUCCCGCGUUGUAUUAGCUAGUUGGUGAGGUAAAGGCUCACCAAGGCGAUGAUACAUAGCCGACCUGAGAGGGUGAUCGGCCACAUUGGGACUGGGACACGGCCCAAACUCCUACGGGAGGCAGCAGUAGGGAAUCUUCGGCAAUGGACGAAAGUCUGACCGAGCAACGCCGCGUGAGUGAAGAAGGUUUUCGGAUCGUAAAACUCUGUUGGUAGAGAAGAACGUUGGUGAGAGUGGAAAGCUCAUCAAGUGACGGUAACUACCCAGAAAGGGACGGCUAACUACGUG
rnacentral:rRNA from 1 species